rnacentral:rRNA from 1 species
AACGAACGCUGGCGGCAUGCCUAACACAUGCAAGUCGAACGAGACCUUCGGGUCUAGUGGCGCACGGGUGCGUAACGCGUGGGAACCUGCCCUUAGGUUCGGAAUAACUCCCCGAAAGGGGUGCUAAUACCGGAUAAUGUCUUCGGACCAAAGAUUUAUCGCCUUUGGAUGGGCCCGCGUUGGAUUAGCUAGUUGGUAGGGUAAAAGCCUACCAAGGCGACGAUCCAUAGCUGGUCUGAGAGGAUGAUCAGCCACACUGGGACUGAGACACGGCCCAGACUCCUACGGGAGGCAGCAGUGGGGAAUAUUGGACAAUGGGCGAAAGCCUGAUCCAGCAACGCCGCGUGCGGGAUGACGGCCUUCGGGUUGUAAACCGCUUUCGCCUGUGACGAAGCGUGAGUGACGGUAAUGGGUAAAGAAGCACCGGCUAACUACGUG